GACGAACGCUGGCGGCGUGCUUAACACAUGCAAGUCGUGCGGUAAGGCCCUUUCGGGGGUACACGAGCGGCGCACGGGUGAGUAACACGUGAGCAACCUGCCCUUCACUUUGGGAUAACUGCCGGAAACGGUGGCUAAUACCGGAUAUGACUUCCUCACGCAUGUGGGGUGGUGGAAAGCCUUCGGGUGGUGGGGGAUGGGCUCGCGGUCUAUCAGCUUGUUGGUGGGGUGAUGGCCUACCAAGGCUUCGACGGGUAGCCGGCCUGAGAGGGUGACCGGCCCGACGGGGACUGGGACACGGCCACCACUGCUACGGGAGGGAGAAGUGGGGAAUAUUGGACCAUGGGCGAAGGCGUGGUCGAGCACCGCCGCGUGAGGGAUGACGGCCUUCGGGUUGUAAACCUCUUUCGCCUGCGACGAAGCGAGAGUGACGGUAGUAGGUAAAGAAGCACCGGCCAACUACGUG
rnacentral:rRNA from 1 species